UAUGUAUGGUGCAAGCGUUAUCCGGAUUUACUGGGUGUAAAGGGAGCGCAGGCGGCGCGUUAAGCCUGGUGUGAAAGCCCGCGGCCCAACCGCGGGACUGCAUUGGGAACUGGCGCGCUGGAGUGCCGGAGGGGUAGGCGGAAUUCCUAGUGUAGCGGUGAAAUGCGUAGUUAUUAGGAGGAACACCAGUGGCGAAGGCGGCCUACUGGACGGUGACUGACGCUGAGGCUCGAAAGCGUGGGGAGCAAACAGG
rnacentral:rRNA from 1 species